AGAGAGAGACAUGCGCGCAUAUCAAUAAGCGGAGGAAAAGAAACUAACAAGGAUUCCCCUAGUAACGGCGAGUGAAGCGGGAAGAGCUCAAAUUUGAAAUCUUAAAGGGUUUCCCUUUACGAAUUGUAGUUUAAAGAAGUGUUUUCUGUUGAGGUUUUGGUAAAAGUUCUUUGGAAUAGGACAUCAUAGAGGGUGAGAAUCCCGUAUUUGACCUUUACUUUCAACUUUGUGAUACACUUUCAAAGAGUCGGAUUGUUUGGGAAUGCAGUCCAAAAUGGGUGGUAAAUUUCAUCUAAAGCUAAAUAUUGGCGAGAGACCGAUAGCGAACAAGUACCGUGAGGGAAAGAUGAAAAGAACUUUGAAAAGAGAGUUAAACAGUACGUGAAAUUGUCAAAAGGGAAGCGUUUGACACCAGUGUUGUUUUUCUGAAAAUCAAUUAAAGAACUGUUUAUGCUAAGCUGUUUAGACUUUAUUAGCUAACUGUUUAGUUUUGAGCUUUUCUUUAAUGCACUUUUCAGUUAACAAGUCAACAUCAAUUUCUUUUGCUGUAACAAAGCUUGAGGAAGGUGGCUUGAGAUUCGUCUUAAGUGUUUAUAGCCUCUUGCCUAUGCAGUCGGAGAGAUUGAGGUCUGCAGCGUAGAUCCUUCGGGGCUAAAUGCAUUUGUGCUAAGUUAUAGCAUUUUAUAGACAACUUGUUGACUAUGAUUUGUCUUGUAGCUUACUCGCUUAUGUUAUUUUACCUACGCUUAGGAUGUUGAGCGCAUGUCUCUCUCU
rnacentral:rRNA from 1 species